GCGCCCGUAGCUCAGCUGGAUAGAGCAUCGGUUUCCUAAACCGGGGGUCGUGGGUUCAAAUCCCGCCGGGCGCACCA
rnacentral:tRNA from 1 species